rnacentral:rRNA from 1 species
ACGACGAGGUAGAUAGGGCAGAGGUGGAAGCAUGGCAACAUGUGCAGCUGACUGUCACUAAUAGGUCGAGGGCUUAACCA